UUAUCAGUUAAAAUUAUUGUGAUUAGCAUAUCGUAUUUUCCCGUAGAAUAUAAAUGUAUAGGAUUUAUUUAAUACUGUGUCGUAUGUGCUCAAGCUGCAAGUACAGCGUUGUACUGAGAACGUUAUAAACUGCAGAUUUAGUUUCAUAGUUGUAAGCUUAUAUUAAAGAGUAGAAAGCUAUCUUGUAUGCAACUUAGUACUGUUUAUAUGGUUGUUGGAAGGCUUCUUGAAAGUUAACUCUCAUUCAAACGUUUUGAGUUGUUAAGUAGUGAAGUUCUUGAAGUUUAUUUUCAGUCCCUGAAGCCUUUAACGAUGAGACUUGCUAAAAGCAGAAGGUGACAUGCAGCUAAACAGUAGAUACUGUGAGAGAUUUGCAUUUGUAAAACAGGAUACUGAAGUAGCAGUUGUAAUAAGUGAUGUCAUGGUCACCGUAUUGUAUGUGCUUGAAAUGGUUUAAACCCUGUUGAUGACAUUACUGUUUAAAACAGGAACGCAUCGCAAAUUCGGUAGUACCACAACAGAAUGACUACAGGAGCGAAAUGUACAUCUCGCCACUCCAAAUUGGGGCCCAGCUCAUCGUCAGACUGCAGACCAUAUCUAAGCUCUUAUGGGGCGUGAUGGUUACAGAAACAUCCGCCAGCUUGUCACAAGGUAGUAACGUUGAUGACUGGGCUGAGGAUGCUGUUUUGUUCAAGACUAACCCACAUCUCGUUUUGGACAAUCCCUCCACCACUCCAAAUGCUCCACAAAAAACUAAGGCUUCAUCAUCAUGAAAGAUUGCCCAUCAGGUCUCGAACAUACAAGGUACCGUGGCGAAUAAGUUCCGCUGCCAUCGUUAGCCUGAUGUUCCUUCCAUGGUGUGGCCAAGAAGGGGAACAAUUUGGCGUCGCACUUCUGUGUAUUGAAUUGAACUUGUGAUCGCCAAAAGACUGCUAGUGUUUCACCACUACCAGCAAGAGAUUUUGGACUAUGCUUCAUCGCGUGUCAGUCUCCCUGAUGCCACCCACUCAGACCAGGGGCACUACCCACAGGUGCCACCUAGCCACAGCAAAGGCCACAUGGCAGGGCGGCCAUUGCCGGAUGUCCGGAUGCCCCAGGGGGAUGGGUAUCUACCCCUUGGCAUACGUGUGGAUUUAAUGGCACAGGCAUCAGCAGAGUGAUCCCUGUGUGGUCAGGGGCUACAACCAACACGGUACAUGGUGGACCCACCACGACGAACUGGCUACCAUUCUGGAUAUCGGGUGCAAAGAAAUACAUGGUCAUCGUCGACACAGAAAGCGACACUGCACAAUUCAUGGUGGAAAACACAUCCAGGAAGGUGUCCUCGCCCAAGAGAUGGGGAAUAAGCGGGACUGAGAUGCAACAAUGAGGAAGUGGGCUAAAGAUUUCAGUGCACGAUGGACAUUAUGCACCAUGUAAGGCUCCCUUCCCCAAUUGGCUUGAUCUUUGGGAAAAUUUUGAAGAAUGGAGUUCAAAACCAUACAGGGGACUGUAACAUAAAGACCGAAACAUGGGAAACUCCUUUUAAUUGCCUCUUAUGACAGACAGGAAUACCUCUGGCCUAUUCUUAUCCCUGGACGUGCAGGGCGAGAACCAUCAGUGAUUUCACCAAAGCAAAGAUGACUGAUGUGAAUCUACUACUUACUAUCUAAACAGUUUGGGGAUGACUGCAAGAGCAUAGGAGAUUUAGAUUUCUGUGUGAACUUCAUAUUGUAACGGGCAGUGAGGAAGAGGUUUGUACAUCAGCUUGUGGUUGCAUGAAAGGAGCAUGAGGACCUUACCAAAUAUUAAGAGAAGCCAAAAGAAUGGCCAUUCUCAAGAUUCUAUAAAUCAAAAUAUUUACCUGAAAGACAUGCUGAAUUUGAUAUGAAAUGAUUAAUGUGAACAUAUUUAUUGUGUAAUAAAAAUGUUUUCAAAGACAAA